AAAAUCAACAAGAGUAUGUGUAUAUAAAGGAAAUAUUUUAAGCAAAGACUGACUACCCAGAAGGGGUAGACCUCUGUUCUUUUGUCUUUCAGAUCAUCAGAAAAAAUGGAUGCCAGCUGAAUAGCAUUCAACGUACCAUGCAUUUACUAGCACAAUAAAAUUAUUUGUGUGUUCUAUGGCCAAAAUUGUUGUUCAAAUUUGCAUACCAACAGUCUUUGGAAGCAAGAACAUAAAAAGUUAACCCAUUCCCCAUAUUGCCCAUGGGAUCCUUCUGGCUACCUCAGAUUUCUAGCCAAAAAGCUGGAAAAAAAAAAAAAGCUAUUAAACACAAAAAGCUGUACCGAGUAGACUCCUCAAAGAUAAAAGAAGUGCUACCCAAAAACCCUGCCCUCACAGAGGCAUCAGAAGUACCAUCUGAUCUGUAGCCAUAAAGACAUACUUAGAAACUUUCUAAGUAAAAAUACAAACAUUCUCAAUGCUCCUUCCAAGCAUAUAAACCAAUUAAAGAAAAAACUUGUGCUCGCAUCAAAAAAAGAGGUUGUUUCUAUGUUAAUCAUUCUGGAUUAAUUAAGCAGAAUUUACAAGCCAUUAAAAAUGCUGCUGUUGUUUUCCGUGCUUUAUCUCUUAAUCACACCUUUAGUUUUAAGACCCUCCUUCCAGACCUUGGGUCAUAGUUUACGGGGCUCUUUCAAACAAUUGUUAAAUAAAUUCUUUUCGUUCUAUGUGUUAUUUAAACAAUAAUACAAUGUGCCAAAUGCCUGUGUAAUGCUAUAAUCAAAAGCUCUGCUGUCCA